rnacentral:rRNA from 1 species
CGACCGGCGCACGGGUGAGUAACGCGUAUCCAACCUUCCCAUUACUGUGGGAUAACCUGCCGAAAGGCAGACUAAUACCGCAUAGUCUUCGAUGACGGCAUCAGAUUUGAAGUAAAGAUUUAUCGGUAAUGGAUGGGGAUGCGUCUGAUUAGCUUGUUGGCGGGGUAACGGCCCACCAAGGCAACGAUCAGUAGGGGUUCUGAGAGGAAGGUCCCCCACAUUGGAACUGAGACACGGUCCAA